AAAUACUUAAAUGUAACACAUGAAACUGUAAAACUAAGAGGAGAAAAACAGAAAAAGGUAAAAAGGCUUCUUGAUAUGGAUCUGGGUGUGGUUUUUAAAAAAUAUGACCCCAAAGCAUAGACAACAAAAGCAGAAGUAGACAAACGGGACUACAUCAAAAUAAAAAGCAUCUAUCUGCACAAAAAAGGCUCAGUAGAGUAAAUAGACCAGCUGUGGAAUGGGAGACAAUAUUUGCAAACCAUACUUCUUAAAAGGGGUGAAUAUUCUAGUUUAUAAGGAAAUCGAGCCUCCCACUGCCACCACUGCUGCCCCCCAGAGACUGCUGAGCCCCCAUUGGUCUGCCGCCACCACCCAAUCCAGAAACAGAACAUCUAAUCAUGGAUAAAAAUGAGCUGGUUCAGAAGGCCAAACUGGCCGAGUAGGCUGAGCGAUAUGAUGACAUGGUAGCCUGCAUGAAAUCUGUAACAGAGCGAGAAGCCCAAUUAUCCAGUGAGGAGAGGAACCUUCUCUCAGUUGCUUGCAAAAAUGUUGUAGGAGCCCAUAGGUCAUCUUGAAGGUCGUUUCAAUUAUUGAACAAAAGAUGGAAGGUGCUGAGAAAAAACAGCAGAUGGCCCGACAACACAAAGAAAAUUGAGACAGAGCUAAUAGAUAUCUGUAAUGAUGUACUGUCUCUUUUGGAAAAGGUCUUGAUCCCCAAUGCUUCACAUGCAGAGAGCAAAGUCUUCUAUUUCAAAAUGAAAGGAGAUUACUACCGUUACUUGGUUGAGGUUGCGGCUAGUGAUGACAAGAAAGGGAUUGUGAAUCAGUCACAACAAUCCUACCAAGAAGCUUUUGAAAUCAGCAAAAAGGAAAUGCAACCAACACAUCCUAUCAGAUUGGGUCUGGCCCUUAACUUCUCUGUGUUCUAUUAUGAGACUCUGAACUCCCUAGAGAAAGCCUGAUCUC